rnacentral:rRNA from 1 species
UGAGUUUGAUCCUGGCUCAGAUUGAACGCUGGCGGCAUGCCUUACACAUGCAAGUCGAACGGCAGCACGGGUGCUUGCACCUGAUGGCGAGUGGCGAACGGGUGAGUAAUACAUCGGAACAUGUCCUGUAGUGGGGGAUAGCCCGGCGAAAGCCGGAUUAAUGCCGCAUACGAUCUACGGAUGAAAGCGGGGGACCUUCGGGCCUCGCGCUAUAGGGUUGGCCGAUGGCUGAUUAGCUAGUUGGUGGGGUAAAGGCCUACCAAGGCGACGAUCAGUAGCUGGUCUGAGAGGACGACCAGCCACACCGGGACUGAGACACGGCCCAGACUCCUACGGGAGGCAGCAGUGGGGAAUUUUGGACAAUGGGCGAAAGCCUGAUCCAGCAAUGCCGCGUGUGUGAAGAAGGCCUUCGGGUUGUAAAGCACUUUUGUCCGGAAAGAAAUCCUUGGCUCUAAUACAGUCGGGGGAUGACGGUACCGGAAGAAUAAGCACCGGCUAACUACGUGCCAGCAGCCGCGGUAAUACGUAGGGUGCGAGCGUUAAUCGGAAUUACUGGGCGUAAAGCGUGCGCAGGCGGUUUGCUAAGACCGAUGUGAAAUCCCCGGGCUCAACCUGGGAACUGCAUUGGUGACUGGCAGGCUAGAGUAUGGCAGAGGGGGGUAGAAUUCCACGUGUAGCAGUGAAAUGCGUAGAGAUGUGGAGGAAUACCGAUGGCGAAGGCAGCCCCCUGGGCCAAUACUGACGCUCAUGCACGAAAGCGUGGGGAGCAAACAGGAUUAGAUACCCUGGUAGUCCACGCCCUAAACGAUGUCAACUAGUUGUUGGGGAUUCAUUUCCUUAGUAACGUAGCUAACGCGUGAAGUUGACCGCCUGGGGAGUGCGGUCGCAAGAUUAAAACUCAAAGGAAUUGACGGGGACCCGCACAAGCGGUGGAUGAUGUGGAUUAAUUCGAUGCAACGCGAAAAACCUUACCUACCCUUGACAUGGUCGGAAUCCCGCUGAGAGGUGGGAGUGCUCGAAAGAGAACCGGCGCACAGGUGCUGCAUGGCUGUCGUCAGCUCGUGUCGUGAGAUGUUGGGUUAAGUCCCGCAACGAGCGCAACCCUUGUCCUUAGUUGCUACGCAAGAGCACUCUAAGGAGACUGCCGGUGACAAACCGGAGGAAGGUGGGGAUGACGUCAAGUCCUCAUGGCCCUUAUGGGUAGGGCUUCACACGUCAUACAAUGGUCGGAACAGAGGGUUGCCAACCCGCGAGGGGGAGCUAAUCCCAGAAAACCGAUCGUAGUCCGGAUUGCACUCUGCAACUCGAGUGCAUGAAGCUGGAAUCGCUAGUAAUCGCGGAUCAGUAUGCCGCGGUGAAUACGUUCCCGGGUCUUGUACACACCGCCCGUCACACCAUGGGAGUGGGUUUUACCAGAAGUGGCUAGUCUAACCGCAAGGAGGACGGUCACCACGGUAGGAUUCAUGACUGGGGUGAAGUCGUAACAAGGUA